rnacentral:rRNA from 1 species
CUGGCUCAGGAUGAACGCUAGCGGCAGGCUAACACAUGCAAGUCGAGGGGCAUCGGGAGUAGCAAUACUGCCGGCGACCGGCGCAAGGGUGCGUAACGCGUGAGCAACAUGCCCGUAUCAGGGGGAUAAUCCAUGGAAACGUGGUCUAAUACCCCAUAGUAAUUAUGUAAGGCAUCUUAUAUAAUUUAAAGCUUUGGUGGAUACGGAUUGGCUCGCGUGACAUUAGCUGGAUGGUAAGGUAACGGCUUACCAUGGCUACGAUGUCUAGGGGUUCUGAGAGGAAGGUCCCCCACACUGGAACUGAGACACGGUCCAGACUCCUACGGGAGGCAGCAGUGAGGAAUAUUGGACAAUGGAUGGAAAUCUGAUCCAGCCAUGCCGCGUGCAGGAAGACGGCCCUAUGGGUUGUAAACUGCUUUUGUAUGGGAGCAAUAAGGGCUACGUGUAGUCCGAUGAGAGUACCAUAACGAAUAAGCACCGGCUAACUCCGUGCCAGCCGCGGC